ACGGGCGAGUAACACGUGGGCAACCUGCCCUUGAGACUGGGAUAACUUCGGGAAACCGGAGCUAAUACCGGAUAAUAUAAGGAACCUCCUGGUUCCUUAUUGAAAGAUGGUUUCGGCUAUCACUUAAGGAUGGGCCCGCGGCGCAUUAGCUAGUUGGUGAGGUAACGGCUCACCAAGGCGACGAUGCGUAGCCGACCUGAGAGGGUGAUCGGCCACACUGGGACUGAGACACGGCCCAGACUCCUACGGGAGGCAGCAGUAGGGAAUCUUCCACAAUGGACGAAAGUCUGAUGGAGCAACGCCGCGUGAGUGAUGAAGGCCUUCGGGUCGUAAAGCUCUGUUGUUAGGGAAGAACAAGUGCGAGAGUAACUGCUCGCACCUUGACGGUACCUAACCAGAAAGCCACGGCUAACUACGUGCCAGCAGCCGCGGUAAUACGUAGGUGGCAAGCGUUAUCCGGAAUUAUUGGGCGUAAAGCGCGCGCAGGUGGUUUCUUAAGUCUGAUGUGAAAGCCCACGGCUCAACCGUGGAGGGUCAUUGGAAACUGGGGAACUUGAGUGCAGAAGAGGAAAGUGGAAUUC
rnacentral:rRNA from 1 species